CUUUCGGUUUGAGCUGCCAUAAGUGUUACGAUCCGCGGGUGAAGACGGGCAGGUAGGCAGGCUGGAGGUAGGGAAGGACGACGCAGGCAGGCAAAAGACGGGGAAAAUUGGGGAUUUAUUGGGGAAACGACGAGGGAACAUGGUAACAGGAACACAACGUCAAUGACCGACAAGAAACCAGGCUAAGACAUGGACUGAAAUAGACAAGACUGGGCGAAAAUAAUACGACACAGCUGGGCAAGAUCUGGAAAGCACACAUGGAUAAUCUGGGGGCGUGGCACAUACGAGGAUCCGACGAGCCGGGCAUGACAAUAAGAAAAACUUCUGCGAGUCCAGAGUGACGAACGGAAUGAAUGUCUGAACUGAAAUGAAGGAUAACGGGAUUCUCAGGCCCCGAAAAGCACCCUGCCUCCUCUCCACCAGGACCCGACACAGCUGACGUCAGCUGGACGUCUCGCACACAAGCAGGCAUGGAGGUGUUUGAGAGUGUCAUGGAUGGUGGCAAGCAGAAGGCCAACAUGUUCUCCAGCUUCAAGAAGCAGGAGUAGAGAGAGCCCUGCAUGGAAAAUGGUGACAACCGUGGUUAAUUAGGAAUCCUAGCAGGAAUUAAAAGUUUGUUAUAAUCUUUGGUGUGAUUAUUAUUGUGUGAACAAUUACAAACUAUUAGAUAUGACUUUGAUUUAAUGACCUAACUCUUGCUUCUGGUCAUGGGAUUAAAACCCACAACCUUCCAGCACAGAAACAGGCAUGGAUCCCUAACCCUGUGAGCUUAGCUGAAGACUUGGACUCACUUCAAGACCAUUCAGUGGAGUAUAACUCAUAUUUGUAGCUGGGUUUGUAACUGUGAAUACUUCAGUGUUAAAGUCCCAUUCUAUGUGAUGUUUUUGUUUAAAGUUUGUAUGAAACAGUAAGUAACAGGAAGUACAAAAAGUAUUUGCACCAUUUAUAUACAAAAAAACAAGAUAGAACAAGUACAAACAAAACAAACAAACAAACAAACAAACAAACAGGGACUGCAUUCAUCUGGAAAAGAGCAUAAAGCAACUGCAAAACCCAGACAGAUAAUAACGAAUAAGGCACAUCUUACCAGAUCACUGCACAAGACACUGCUGAGGCGUCCUAUAAGCCAAUCCCAAGUGAAAGAUUCUUCUAGAAACUUUACCCGGUGAAAAGCAGCCAUUAUGCUGGCACCCGCAAUUGUGGAUGGCAGGUAUAUGGAAAACGUGUACUCUGUAAAACAAACAAAAAAAAUAAAUUAAGAAUAAUUAUUAGUGAGAGUACUGCAGUAUUCGAAGAUGUACAUUUAGGUGAACUGGUAGGGAACUGUGUUUGCCCUAUGGUUCACUGGUAAUCUGUCCAGAUGGUACCCCUGCAUUCUGCACUAUUCAGGCUAACAUAAGUUGCACAGACUCCAGCCUGCAUCCCUGUAGUGAAAAAGCUGUUAGAAGAUACA